UACGUAGGGUGCAAGCGUUGUCCGGAAUUAUUGGGCGUAAAGAGCUCGUAGGCGGUCUGUCGCGUCUGCUGUGAAAACUCAGGGCUUAACCCUGAGCUUGCAGUGGGUACGGGCAGACUAGAGUGCGGUAGGGGAGACUGGAAUUCUUGGUGUAGCGGUGAAAUGCGUAGAUAUCAAGAGGAACACCUGAGGUGAAGACGGGUUGCUGGGCCGACACUGACGCUGAGUGCGCGAAAGCCAGGGGAGCAAACGGG
rnacentral:rRNA from 1 species